CGAAUUCGCCCUUAGAGUUUGAUCCUGGCUCAGAAUGAACGCUGGCGGCGUGCUUAACACAUGCAAGUCGUACGAGAAACUCCGAUUUCGGUCGGGAGAGUAAAGUGGCGAACGGGUGAGUAACGCGUGGGUAAUUUACCUCCGAAGUGGGAAUAACCCCGCGAAAGCGGGGAUAAUACCUGAUAAUAUCUUGUGACCUAGGUUAUUGAGAUCAAAGGUGGCCUCUACAAGUAAGCUACCGUUUGGAGAUGAGCCCGCGUGCCAUUAGCUUGUUGGUGGGGUAAUGGCCUACCAAGGCGACGAUGGCUAGCUGGUCUGANAGGAUGAUCAGCCACACUGGAACUGANACACGGUCCAGACUCCUACGGGAGGCAGCAGUGAGGAAUUUUGCGCAAUGGGGGAAACCCUGACGCAGCANCNCCGCGUGAGUGAUGAAGGCUUUCGGGUCGUAAAGCUCUGUCA
rnacentral:rRNA from 1 species